AUGAUGUACAUAAAAAAUAAGAUUGUUUAUCUUUUACCAGACAUUUAUGUCAUUUUCUGUUGUAAAUACAAGAAAGAUAGUAUGUACUUUUCAAGCGUAUUAUUUAUUAAAUUCCAAUUUAUACCCUUAUUUCUAUGUGAGUUCUAUUUUACCAAGAAAUCACCUUCCUCGUGCAAGUGAAUUUCAUUUAAUGAGUGUUAAAAACUAUGAAGCACAGACUUCCAUACGGACACCAAACACAACAUUGACACACCUUUUUUUUCCAGAAGUGUUGGUGUUCCUGAGGUUAAAAGGUCUUUUGACCUAG